AGACGAACCGGACAAACGUUAUUCGGAAUCAUUGGGCUUAAAGGGUGCGUAGGCGGUGCGGAAAGUUGGGUGUGAAAUCCCUCGGCUCAACCGAGGAACUGCGCUCAAAACUUCCGUGCUAGAGUGAGACAGAGGUGAGCGGAACUGAUGGUGGAGCGGUGAAAUGCGUUGGUAUCAUCAGGAACACCGGUGGCGAAGGCGGCUCACUGGGUCUCUACUGACGCUGAGGCACGAAAGCUAAGGUAGCGAACAGGAUUAGAAACCCUAGUAGUCC
rnacentral:rRNA from 1 species